AUGUCGGGGCGACAGAUAAAUCAAUCUCCUUUCAAGUUCCAAAACAACAACCUUCAUGUUCGUACAUGUGUGUAUCAAGGAUGCACGGAUCCAUUGGCAUGCGCACCACACAUCCCUUCACUAAUUCCAUCAAUGUCAUACCUAACAAGGGAGGGAGAGAGGAGGAGGAAGGAGGGAGGAGUACCUCUCGGUGGAGGAGGGCCGGCGCGGGAGGAGAGCCGGCGCGGGGGCCGAGGCGGCGGGCAGAGGAGGGAGGCCGACGCGGGGGAGCUGGGCGGCCGGCGGGGAGGAGGGCUGGCGCGGGCGAGGGCGGCCGACGCAGGGAGGAGGGCCGGCGCGGGGGACGGCAGUGUGCGGGGGUCGACGGCGGCGCGCGGGGGAUCGAGGGAGGAGUGUGGGAGUGUGAGUGAGAGUGAGGCCGGCCGAGCCGGGGGCGCGGGGGGAGGUCGCCAGCACUUGUCAAUCUUUGCUGCCUUGACUUGCCACCGACGUCGCUGGUUGGGCCGAAGGUGUGACAAGUCGUGUGAGAUGAAGGUGGUGGACUGUCUCAAUGUGAAGCCAAGUAUUGUGGUGGAUUGGCCAUGGUUGAUGGUAGACCGGUUCCCUCGUGGUGGAGAUCGACUGUGCAGUGGGGAAAGGAGCUACAUGCUGAUUCUUCAGAAGGACAAACAAUGGGCCGGUCAUGAACUAGCCAAUGUUGCCAAAGCUCAUGGAGACCUUAUGGUUGCGGAUGGUGUCCGGGACCAACUACAUGAUCUGCUUCGGAAGGAACACGGUGCAGCCUUGAUGUCGUCCUUAGUCUUGAUGCGUAAGUCACCACGUUGUUCCAGUAUAGGGGCAGCUAGGCUCGACCCACCAUCAUCCUGGUCUCGCCAUGUUGGGUGUAUAUGCUUGUGCACAUACAUGUAUUGUCCUCAUGAUUUUAGGCUCAAUAAUAUUUCAACUGAUGAAGAUUCUACAACCGAGCCAGCCAAAAAGCUUGCCGUCGACGAGCCAGACCAGGGCUCAGCUCGGUGCGCCAGUGAGCCCCAAUACCAGCCCUUUGGCCCGGGCCAAUCGGCUAGCUCGCCGGCCCCGGCGGUGCUGGUCAGUGCCAGGCGUAUCCCUGGUUGCCGUGGCGGCAGCAUAGGGAACAUGGUCAAGGAGCUGAAGCGUCGGGACGUCGGGGAGACUGCUCUUGGAUGUGGUCGAGCUUGUGGAGGAGGAAAAGCACAACGGGUGCUUGCCAUGGCCGGUGUCACCACAGCGUUGGCAGGACUGGGGUGUUCAACGACGACGCAUGGCAAGGCGAGAACGGCGUUGUCUGGAAGAGGACGACGAUCUGGUGGCAGGAAGAAUUAUCGAUAUUAUGCCGAUAAUCGCCCGUCCCCCGCGUCGCCCUUGGCGAUACGGGGGAAACCUCUCGUCGCCGGCGCCCCGGGCUCCUUCCUUCCCUCCCCUCGCGUCGCCGCCACCAGAGGGCUUAUGCGCGGCGAGCCAUCUCUGCCGAUGCAAGUCGAGAGCUCCAUGGGCAAGGCGAAGGGGAAGCAGCGGCAGGACGAGUACUACGACCUCGCCAAGGAGCAGGGCUACCGGAGCCGCGCGGCCUUCAAGCUGCAGCAGCUCAAUGAUCGCUUCCGGUUCCUCCCGCCGGCGCGCGUCGUGCUCGACCUCUGCACGGCGCCGGGGGGCUGGAUGCAGGUGGCCGUCGCCCGUGCCCCCGCCGGCGCCUUCGUCGGCGGCGUCGACCUCGUGCCCAUCCGCCCCGUCCACGGCGCGCGCCGUGCUCGACCUCUGCGCGGCGCCGGGGGGCUGGAGCACGCACGCACACAAUCACAAAGAACUCACGUUGGCAUCCAAAUUGACGCGCGCGCUGACCAUCGUAUCAUGGCUAGAUGUCCAAAUCGAGGACCGGUGCGCUCCCAUGGCAAAAAGGUCUUGUCCGUCCCGCCCAAUUUCACCUGCUUGUCAACGCGGCCGGAGACCUGCGGAAGAUGCACUGCCGCUCGGCUCGCGAACAUCAGAGGCCCCGGAUUCCUACGCGUCUGCUGCUCCCAUGGCCGGAGGGGCAGCAGCCACUUGCCCGCAGCUCCCAUGACCGGCUCCCCGGUGCGCCGCCGCUCGCCGCCACGCGGCCUUGCCAGUGCGGAACGCUGGGAUGUCAAGCGGUCGUGGAGCCGGCGAGGCGGCAGAGUGAAGCCGCGUCACAAAGGAAGGAUGGGGGAUGUGAGUCGACUUGGGAGGAGGCAGCGGACUGUUGCGACACGGCGGCUGCGGCUGCAGGUGGUGCAGGGCGGCGUCCUUGCUUGGGCCGGUGGAGGUGGCAUUCGGCGUGCGUGGUGCCUGAUGGGGCGCGUGGUCGUCGGCGUCUGCGUGGGCUCGAUUGGCAUGUCGUUCCCCGGAUCUCGAGCAGAGCAGCGCUGGGCUCUGCAGAUGGCGUUGGCGGGGUCGCCAUUUCAUGGCGCGUGGUACUCAAAAUAUCUGGACGUCGGCAAGAGCAUUUGCUACACGGGCUAG
rnacentral:rRNA from 1 species